AAUUGGACCAGAGAAUGCGACCGGUGGAUUCGCACCUGAGAUCUUUCUACAGAUAAUGGGGGUAUCCCACCCAGUAAAACCCCCCCCCCCCCCCCCCCCCGCUGUGUAGAAAAUAAAUUUUGUAGCUGAGUACAGAUGUUUCUUUCCUCCCUACAUGCAUAGAAGUAGAUAAACAGGAAUUAAUUCUAACUUCCACACGAUGAAAAAAUGUAAAAGGACCAACUGGGGUAUUGGUCAUGGACUAAAAUAUAUUUUAGAAGAUCAUAAAGGUCCAUUUAUAUGGCUCUGACCCGAGUAGCAUGGGGCACGUGGAAUCCCGUGUGAAUCAGCAAGGACCACCUUGCAAGGCUAAAUACUCUUGGGUGACCGAUAGCUAAUCCGGCAUAGUUUUAUACGGAUACUGCCAGGAGAUAGAGUCAAAAUUGAAGUAAGUCCUUAUGAUUCAACCAAAGGGCGUAUAAUUUAUCGAGUCCACAACAAAGAUUUGAAGGAUUAGUUUUUCAACUUCACCAUUACUUUCGUGGGAAUACAAUUCGAGAUGAAAGGGUUGGGCUGUUCGCCCAUUAAAGCGGUACGUGAGCUGGGUUUAGAACAUCGUGAGACAGUUCGGUCCAUAUCCGGUGCGGGCGUUAGAGCAUUGAGAGGACCUUUCCCUAGUACGAGAGGACCGGGAAGGACACAAAAAGACUUACAUCUUUAAAUGAUUUGAUCAUUUUAUGGACCCACAUACAGAGACAAAACCGCGAAUCAAUCAUUUUUCUCGAGCCGUAUGUGGAGAAAGCUUCCCGAUUCAGUUUG
rfam:Nicotiana attenuata strain TT chromosome 10, whole genome shotgun sequence.